rnacentral:misc_RNA from 1 species
GCCACACACACACACACACAUGCAUGCACACGUGGUGCUUGACGUGCCUUGAUUUCGUCAAACUUACACGUGAGGCUCAGCACCAUCGCAGUCUCGAUGAGCGGGUCGCUGGAAUUACCGUCGCCACCGGCGGCGACGUUAGCGGAGGGUGGCGUGAGUGCUACCUUGUACCUGACAGCGCAGCGGUGGCGCUCGUACCUCCUGGAGCACUCAGUGGUAUUCCGUCGGCUGCAGGAGGAGCGUGAGCGGGGGUGGAGAUCGUCAGCAUUGGAUGAGUGGUAUGCGCGACGGCAGGCAGACACGACGCGCUCGUCGGCAGCUGGCGCCACCGUCGCCAGCCCCUCUCGGUCCGCAUCCGAACUGGCGGUGAAGCGCGGGACUCAAGUAGGUGAGGGCACCACGGCUUUCGUGAAUGCGGACGUGACAGUUCUGGCCGAGCGCUAUCGACAGCAUGCGCGGCGCAUCACCCAGCACGCGGCAAGCGCCUUCUUCAGGGCUGCCUCAAAGGUGAAUUCGUCUGAAAGCAGCCAUGCUGACGAGAAACCUGUGUCGCCUGCGCCGCUGUUUUUAGAUCUCGGCUGCGCGCCGGGCGGCGUGUCCAAGUACCUUGUGGAGGACUUAGGAUGGCGUGGUAUUGGUGUAACGCUGGCGCGCGCAGACGGCGGCAUCGAGGUGGACCCGCUGCUUCUUCAGAAAAGCACGUGCAGCGGCGCGUCGUUCGUGCUGCUUGACGGCGAUGUGACGCAGCCGCCAAGCACGUGGAAUCGUUCGGCGGCGUACGCACUUAUGGAAGGUGAGAGUUGCGCGACAAGAAUGCAGGCACAGGCAGUGCCCCGCGCAUCCUCGGCUGUCUGCACAGCUGACGUUUUGCCGCUAUCAGCAUCGCUGUUCAAGUCGAACUCCGCGGCGGCGCCGCGCUUCCACUUUGUUAACGGCGGCGCUGUGCUUGAUCAUGGCCAGCGACAACGGCGGGAGAGAGCGGAAGAGGCGACCUUGGCGUCUGCCUCGGUGCCGGGCGGUGGUGUGAUGCUGGGCGCGAGUGCGCGCGGUGGAGCAGAUUACGCUGAUACAUCGCUGACCGACUCUUCGCCGUCAACCUGCGCGCAGGCAGCGGCGCCCAUCCUGCCUUGGUUCAGCCUCCUCGUACCGCAGCUGAAAACGGCGCUGACGUAUGUUGCUACAGGCGGUGCGCUGAUGCUGGUGCACGGUGCCCCGCACUGCGCGAGCAUGUUCAUCCUGAUGCGGUGUAUGGAGGAGGCCGUGGGCGUGCCGGCAGCCACGCCCACGUCGGCGAGCCGAGGCCGCGUGCACGUUCUGGAGACGAUGCACCUUGCAAAGGCGCCUGUGUACUUGCUGUGGACGGGCGUUCGACCGCCGCGCAAGGACCCGUCUGAUGGGGCAGAAGCUAGGGCGAUGCAGGAUGCGCAGACGUGCCUACUCGAGGCGCUCAGCACAACAUCGCCGCGCAUCUUUCCGCUAUGUCGCACAACGUCCUCGACGCCAUAUAUCACCGCCACCAGCGAUAGUCGCGCACUGUUACGCGAGAAGCAGCGCCUGUGGCUAGGCGAGUCGGACGAGGGGUUUGAGCUGGCCGUGGAUGGUUUCCAGCGGUACGGUCAUCUCGUCGAGGGUGUCUGGGGGAGGAUGGAGGCGUUUCUCCGGCAGCGCCGCGAGCGGGCCGAGCGUGAGAUGCACAGCGGCGGUGGCGAUCCCCGUCGUGACCGGAGGGCGGUGUCCACGGCGGGCUUGAAGCGCAUGCGGAGUGACGGUUGAGCAGGCUCGAGCUCUGUGCAGUGACCCCACGAAAAUGCAGGUGCAAGCGGUGGAGUGGUGCAUGUGUAUCGCGUUCUCUCUGAGUGUGUGUAUGUGUGUGUGGCUGCAUUGCUCAGAGUUUCGGUCGCACCACACGUGCACCCUACUCAGUCGGGUAAGGUUAUAUGUGCGCACCAACCAGCAUCUGCAUACAGCCAAGCGCGCAUAUUCAUCGUUCAUACUCGUCUCCGCUGACUCCUCUCCCCUCCCCCUCGUUUUCUUUGCCAGCGCCUGCCCUCCUUUCCGAGACCAUGGCUGUCGGUUCCCUUUGCAGUGACGCUACACCGCGCUGGAGCAGUUGAGCCCCUCCCACACGUUUCGCCCCGCGGCGAGGAAUGUGGUGCACGUCGCAAAUCUAAAAG